GACGAACCGUGCGAACGUUGUUCGGAUUCACUGGGCUUAAAGGGCGCGUAGGCGGUUUCCCACGUCCGGGGUGAAAGCUUUCGGCUUAACCGGAAAAGGGCCUUGGAUACGGGGAAACUCGAGGGAGGUAGGGGCAGGUGGAACUUCCGGUGGAGCGGUGAAAUGCGUUGAUAUCGGAAGGAACGCCGGUGGCGAAAGCGACCUGCUGGACCUCUUCUGACGCUGAGGCGCGAAAGCCAGGGGAGCAAACGGGAUUAGAUACCCCCGUAGUCC
rnacentral:rRNA from 1 species